CUAAUUUACAAAGGUACCCUUAAGAGCUUUGUCAGAUCAAGUAUGAAAUAGAUAUGCAUAUUUUGUUUAUUUAAAACGUUUGUUUUCAUUUCUAGUUCACAGCGAAAGAAACAAUGAAGAAAUUCACAGAAAUAAACACCUUUUCAGUAAGAAAACGACGUUAGCUUUUACAUUACAGGUCAGAUAAAGAUUCAAGGGUACCGUACUGUGAUCUGGCAUUCCCCUCUUCAAGUGGAGGUAAAGCUUAAAAUUACGACAAGCGCUAUAAUUCAGUUCAAUAUCAUAUUUAUACAAGAUUACUAUUCAUCAUAAGAUGCUUAAUUAGGUUCAGAAUAAAAUUGGCGGAGACUCCCCCCUCCUUCACUCGUCAAACAAUAUUGAAACAACCAUACAUCUAGCUGACAUUCUAAGGUGUUCAUACUCGAGAUGUUCUCCAGCUUGUUCUACAGAGAAAUCCUAUCUUCAAUCCACUAAUCCUACAAAUCUCUACAAAUACAUCAAAUCUACCAUUACUCUUAAUGAUCAAAAUGUUUAAUAUAAUUUGAGAGUUUAUCUUCAAUUUAAAUUUGUAGUGAUAAUUGUAAUUCCUCCCUCAAAAAUUCCGUGCACGUCUCCACGUUCUGAACCAGGUGAAUAAUUAUGAACAUUCAAAAAUCCGAAAUUCUCACAACCACUUCAACAACUCUUAUGCUAGGCUGGCUCUGAGUUCCUGUUGAUCUCAAGAGCUGUAACCUCUCCGCUGCCUCACGGAGCUAAUCUUCUCUGUAUCCUUGGUCUCGAGGAUGAAGAUGCUUUCCACUCCUUUCACCUACUAAUCUUGACAGCCUGAGUCUUGGGUCCUCGAACCGAGACUGCGGUGCAAUCUAGAUGGACUAUGAGGCUACAAACCUCCGGACAAAUCAACAUUUUCACGGUUGACCCCUGUCUAAACUAUCUACCCGGAAUAUAUAUCAGCAAUUAACAUAACCAUGGAUGGACUGAUUUAUUGUGUUUUCAGUUCAUGAUUGACCCCUGUCUAAACUAUCUACCUGAAAUAUAUAUAAGAUAUCAA